UUAAGCGACUAAGCGUACACGGUGGAUGCCCUGGCAGUCAGAGGCGAUGAAGGACGUGCUAAUCUGCGAUAAGCGUCGGUAAGGUGAUAUGAACCGUUAUAACCGGCGAUUUCCGAAUGGGGAAACCCAGUGUGAUUCGUCACACUAUCAUUAACUGAAUCCAUAGGUUAAUGAGGCGAACCGGGGGAACUGAAACAUCUAAGUACCCCGAGGAAAAGAAAUCAACCGAGAUUCCCCCAGUAGCGGCGAGCGAACGGGGAGCAGCCCAGAGCCUGAAUCAGUGUGUGUGUUAGUGGAAGCGUCUGGAAAGGCGCGCGAUACAGGGUGACAGCCCCGUACACAAAAAUGCACAUGCUGUGAGCUCGAUGAGUAGGGCGGGACACGUGGUAUCCUGUCUGAAUAUGGGGGGACCAUCCUCCAAGGCUAAAUACUCCUGACUGACCGAUAGUGAACCAGUACCGUGAGGGAAAGGCGAAAAGAACCCCGGCGAGGGGAGUGAAAAAGAACCUGAAACCGUGUACGUACAAGCAGUGGGAGCACGCUUAGGCGUGUGACUGCGUACCUUUUGUAUAAUGGGUCAGCGACUUAUAUUCUGUAGCAAGGUUAACCGAAUAGGGGAGCCGAAGGGAAACCGAGUCUUAACUGGGCGUUAAGUUGCAGGGUAUAGACCCGAAACCCGGUGAUCUAGCCAUGGGCAGGUUGAAGGUUGGGUAACACUAACUGGAGGACCGAACCGACUAAUGUUGAAAAAUUAGCGGAUGACUUGUGGCUGGGGGUGAAAGGCCAAUCAAACCGGGAGAUAGCUGGUUCUCCCCGAAAGCUAUUUAGGUAGCGCCUCGUGAAUUCAUCUCCGGGGGUAGAGCACUGUUUCGGCAAGGGGGUCAUCCCGACUUACCAACCCGAUGCAAACUGCGAAUACCGGAGAAUGUUAUCACGGGAGACACACGGCGGGUGCUAACGUCCGUCGUGAAGAGGGAAACAACCCAGACCGCCAGCUAAGGUCCCAAAGUCAUGGUUAAGUGGGAAACGAUGUGGGAAGGCCCAGACAGCCAGGAUGUUGGCUUAGAAGCAGCCAUCAUUUAAAGAAAGCGUAAUAGCUCACUGGUCGAGUCGGCCUGCGCGGAAGAUGUAACGGGGCUAAACCAUGCACCGAAGCUGCGGCAGCGACGCUUAUGCGUUGUUGGGUAGGGGAGCGUUCUGUAAGCCUGCGAAGGUGUGCUGUGAGGCAUGCUGGAGGUAUCAGAAGUGCGAAUGCUGACAUAAGUAACGAUAAAGCGGGUGAAAAGCCCGCUCGCCGGAAGACCAAGGGUUCCUGUCCAACGUUAAUCGGGGCAGGGUGAGUCGACCCCUAAGGCGAGGCCGAAAGGCGUAGUCGAUGGGAAACAGGUUAAUAUUCCUGUACUUGGUGUUACUGCGAAGGGGGGACGGAGAAGGCUAUGUUGGCCGGGCGACGGUUGUCCCGGUUUAAGCGUGUAGGCUGGUUUUCCAGGCAAAUCCGGAAAAUCAAGGCUGAGGCGUGAUGACGAGGCACUACGGUGCUGAAGCAACAAAUGCCCUGCUUCCAGGAAAAGCCUCUAAGCAUCAGGUAACAUCAAAUCGUACCCCAAACCGACACAGGUGGUCAGGUAGAGAAUACCAAGGCGCUUGAGAGAACUCGGGUGAAGGAACUAGGCAAAAUGGUGCCGUAACUUCGGGAGAAGGCACGCUGAUAUGUAGGUGAAGUCCCUCGCGGAUGGAGCUGAAAUCAGUCGAAGAUACCAGCUGGCUGCAACUGUUUAUUAAAAACACAGCACUGUGCAAACACGAAAGUGGACGUAUACGGUGUGACGCCUGCCCGGUGCCGGAAGGUUAAUUGAUGGGGUUAGCGCAAGCGAAGCUCUUGAUCGAAGCCCCGGUAAACGGCGGCCGUAACUAUAACGGUCCUAAGGUAGCGAAAUUCCUUGUCGGGUAAGUUCCGACCUGCACGAAUGGCGUAAUGAUGGCCAGGCUGUCUCCACCCGAGACUCAGUGAAAUUGAACUCGCUGUGAAGAUGCAGUGUACCCGCGGCAAGACGGAAAGACCCCGUGAACCUUUACUAUAGCUUGACACUGAACAUUGAGCCUUGAUGUGUAG
rnacentral:rRNA from 1 species